UACGGGGGGAGCAAGCGUUGUUCGGAUUUACUGGGCAUAAAGGGCGCGUAGGCGGUCACGACAAGUCAGUUGUGAAAUCUCCGGGCUUAACUCGGAACGGUCAACUGAUACUGUCGGACUAGAGUGCAGAAGGGGCAACUGGAAUUCUCGGUGUAGCGGUGAAAUGCGUAGAUAUCGAGAGGAACACCUGCGGCGAAGGCGGGUUGCUGGGCUGACACUGACGCUGAGGCGCGAAAGCUAGGGGAGCGAACGGG
rnacentral:rRNA from 1 species